AUCCCGCAAUCCAUGAACCAGUUUAGUAGCCCUUCUCUGAACCCUCUCUAAGGUAUCAAUAUCCUUCUGAAGAUACGGUCUCCAGUACUGUGUACAAUACUCCAAGUGAGGUCUCACCAGUGUUCUGUACAAUGGCAUGAGCACUUCCCUCUUUCUACUGCUAAUACCGCUCCCUAUACAACCAAGCAUUCUGCUAGCAUUUCCUGCUGCUCUAUUACAUUGUCUGCCUACCUUUAAGUCAUCAGAAAUAAUCACCCCUAAAU